GGUCAUGAGUGCCAGCGCGAAACCCCGGUUUGCUGGCCGGCAACCCUCCACUCGCGGUGGGGUGCCCCGGGUGAAGACCAGGUUCGCCUCCACCAGGAGAACGGACAAGCGCGGGUC
rnacentral:ncRNA from 1 species